UGUCUGUGCCGUCUUCGUCGUCGCCGAUCCCCUUUGUCGCCGCCGUCGUUGACGAGCCCAGCCGCCGCCAUCACAUCUGCAUUGCUAUUGAUGGUGGUCAGCCGCCGAUCUGGCAUGAGGGGGAGAGAACGCGAACAGAAGAGGAGACGGAGAGCCAUCGCCGCGGUUGCUGAACCCCCAGUGCUUCACGUUGCCACUGCCGUCCGAAACCUCGUUGCCGUCGCCGGGAAACUCUGACGCUGCUAUUAUCAAAGAUUCGGGCCGCCACCAUCACUCAAAAAUUAUUGAUGAAGCUGCUGCCCGGUCGAUUUGGAGUUGCGGCUGCUUUGCUUUGUUAUUUCAGAGUUAGAAUCCGAGUUUACUUGUGGUGUUUGAAGCUGUUUCUGCUUUUGAGAGAGCAAGUAGAGCCGAGGUUUUGGUUUUCGUCAAUUCGGGUUGAGGCAAAAAGAACUCUGUGAGGCCUUUGGGCUGUGGUUUUGCGUAUUGAGGUCUUUUCUCUUUUCAGGUUACGGACGACGAAGUUCAAAAGAGCUUAAUUCUUUUCUGUUAAACGAUAUUUCUGUAUUAUUUUAGUAUUUAUGUUUUCCUCGCCUUUAGCUUUGCAAGUUUUGUAAGAGGGAUAGGGUGUUGAUAUGAGAUGCUUGUAAAUUAAUAUGUAUGUAUAUGUAAAUAUAUAUAAAAUUUCUGUGAGUAUGGUAAUUUAUAUUGUGCGUAUGAAUGUAUGCUUUUGAAAGAUUCGGUUAAAGUUUUAAACAGGCUCAUAUUUUAGUAUUAAAUAUUACAAGAGUCGUCGUAAUACCCGAGCUAUCAGAGUGGCGCAGUCGGAAGCGUGACAUUUUGAUAGUUAGGGUGUUACAUAAAUCAAUGCAAUUUACACCUAUAUUUUUUAGAAUUUACAUAUAUAAAUUUAAAAAAAAUAAUUUAGUGUUUAUACUGAUCUA